GGAAUAGCGUCAUCAGUUCUAUAAGAGAGCGUGUGCCGAAGGCCUCGGCCUUUCACAUUCGGGAAGCGUCGGGAUUAGGUGAAAGUACGUAGUUGUCUUUCGUAAGUUAAAAUAAUAAUUGGGCCGAAACUUACUGCCUUACCUAAAAGGCAGCGCAGUCAGGAUAUUGGUAGGUCGGGGGCGGCUUUGGAAACCCUUAAGUUUACAAGCAUGCGCGGACUUUAGUGCUCAUUAGGUCGCCGGGCGUCCACGUGCAGCCCUGGACCCUGAACCCCGGCGUGCGUGGGCCGUGGGCCCUCGGGGAAAGGUUCCGUGCACUCGGGGACUCCGGUGAAGCCUGUUAAGCCGUCUGUGUCAUGUGGCCAUCUUGAGUCUACUCUGUCGCUCUUGUGCCCUAGCACCCCGAGAACCGUCAGUUUGAGCCAGAUGGAAGCUGAGCUGAACACAUUACGAUGGAUGAUGGAAACAUAAGACUAUCAAGAAAUCGAAGUGGUAGUGGGCGAAGUUUAUUCAGCAUCCGGCAAUGGACUUAUCGUAGUUGGGGAAACGGGUGUUCCGAAUAAUAUCCUGGAAGUUAUCAGGACACCUAUUUUAAAUAUAGGCCUGAAUUUUGUAAAGUAAUAUUUAAGGUGGUCCGUGAUAAUUAAAUAAAAUGCUUAAUUCAUGUGGCUA
rnacentral:lncRNA from 1 species